AGCGAACGCUGGCGGCAGGCCUAACACAUGCAAGUCGAACGAUCCUUCGGGAUAGUGGCGGACGGGUGAGUAACACGUGGGAACGUGCCCUUUGGUUCGGAACAACUCAGGGAAACUUGAGCUAAUACCGGAUGUGCCCUUCGGGGGAAAGAUUUAUCGCCAUUGGAGCGGCCCGCGUAGGAUUAGCUAGUUGGUGGGGUAAUGGCCCACCAAGGCUCCGAUCCUUAGCUGGUCUGAGAGGAUGAUCAGCCACACUGGGACUGAGACACGGCCCAGACUCCUACGGGAGGCAGCAGUGGGGAAUCUUGCGCAAUGGGCGAAAGCCUGACGCAGCCAUGCCGCGUGAAUGAUGAAGGUCUUAGGAUUGUAAAAUUCUUUCACCGGGGACGAUAAUGACGGUACCCGGAGAAGAAGCCCCGGCUAACUUCGUGCCAGCCGCCGCCGUAACAC
rnacentral:rRNA from 1 species